rnacentral:misc_RNA from 1 species
UACUCUUACUGCGGCUCUUGU